rnacentral:rRNA from 1 species
UACGUAGGGGGCAAGCGUUGGUCCGGAUUUACUGGGCGUAAAGAGCGUGUAGGCGGCCAAGCAGGUCCGUUGUGAAAACUGGAGGCUUAACCUCCAGACGUCGACGGAAACCGCGUGGCUAGAGUCCGGAAGAGGAGAGUGGAAUUCCUGGUGUAGCGGUGAAAUGCGCAGAUAUCAGGAAGAACACCAAUGGCGAAGGCAGCUCUCUGGGACGGUACUGACGCUGAGACGCGAAAGCGUGGGGAGCGAACAGG